GAUAUCCCUCAAAUAAGCUUAUUUGAGGGAUCCCUCAAUGGAAGCUCUCUGUAUAUAUAUAUAUAUAUAUUUAUUUAUUUAUUUAUUUAUGAAGCUUACGUGAGUUCAAAACAAGAGUCUUUGGAGCUUAUAAAUCUUUAAUUAUUUUAUUUUAUUUUAUUAUGCUUAUUUAUCUUUGUCUUUUAUUAUUUUAUAUAGUCUUAAAUAGCUUAAAUAUUUCUAGCAUAUUUUGCCCCAUGAGUCUUAGAGAUAUCCGAAUCGUGGGAGCGAGGAUUGCGGAUCAGGUUGACCAGAUGUCUCAUGAGUCCAGCGAGGAUUACAAGGCAGGACGUGUCACUAAUGGUGUCAUGAGGAAAUGGAUAGUUAUGGCUUUCCGAGUGUGAUUACCCAAAUCUAAAUGCAUUAUUUUCAUUCAUUUAAUUAUAUAUUGCCAAGUGAGUAAUGCCAGGAAGCUUGGAACAGGAAGCUGAGAUGGAAUAUGAGAACUACGUGUGGCUUGAUCCCUUUUUAAGGGUACGUAGGCAACCUAGGGUUCUAGGUGCAACCAUGAGGGCAAGUAACUAAGGUAG
rnacentral:lncRNA from 1 species